UACCGGCGAAAUAACGUGCCCCCGCCGGUCGUCGCAUCCACUGCCUCGCACCAGUCGCCAUGGCUACCAACCACCGCGGAGGCGACCGCUCCCUCCCUGAUUUUAGGCGUCGCUGGCCCCCCUCCCCUUCCUUCCAAGCGCCGCCGACCGCUCCCCGCUGAUUCCACACAUCGCCACCCCAUCCCCUGCUUCCACGCGCUGCUAUCCCUCUGCUUCCACCGCGUCGGCGGCUCGCUCCCUGCUUCCACUUCCAUUCGCCGCCUUAGAACCCCGCACACUACCGCCCUCCCAUACCCCCUACAGCUCGUCGUGUGCAAGCUCGUCAGUCCAAGUUCUCCGGCGAGCUCGUCUCUGGUUUCGUUUUCCUUAACACUCGCAAUGGCAUGCUCCAAGCCCGCCGAGACUGAAUCAUUUGACACCAGUUCUCUGCACAGCGUGGCUCGACGUGCAGCCCGCCAUCUCCUUCGUGUACAUCCAGACAAGAUGUUGUGGUGUACAAUUUAAUGCAUGAUGAGAUCUCAAUGCUCGCAGUGUCCCUGUCAACAAACGCACUCAAGUUCUAUGCUCCAGCAACUGGACAGUAUUUGGGCGAAUGCACAGGUCAUACGGGGAGUAUCCAUGAGAUUGCCUUUUCAGCUCCGUCUUCGCUGCAAGUGAUAUGCUCUUGCUCUGGUGAUGGAACUAUCAGAGCCUGGGACACAAGGAGCUUCAACGAUCAGGCCGUUCAGCUCUGCCACCGCAAGGCGUUCACCUCUGCCACACGAGGUCGUUCGACGAUGCAGCGCUCAUCAUGUUGUGUUUUUAAAGUACAUGUUUUGUGUGCUUUCUAGUUCACCUAUUUAACGAUUCUAUAGUACACUAGGUGUUUGUGUUAUGCCUUAAUAAGCAUUUGAGAAAACCUUGUAUGGACCGAAACUAGCAUAUGUUCUGUUCUAUUCUUGUAAAUGAAGCUCCACUUUUGUUUUGUUUCAAGUUAUUUGGCAAAAAAAUUA